UAAAGAAAAAGAACAGUAGUUAUUUUUCAUUUUUGACUGCGUUGUCUGUACUCUGCGUUAUCUGUGUGAAAGCAGUGAACGUGCUCCAGUGUAUUUAUCUGUUGUGAUAUAGUCAGUGCAAUAUAGAUCAGUAGUAAGUUGCAGUAGAUUCUGAUUAAGUUUGAGCCUCGCUUCGAAACCUGUAAAUUUAAAGCUUCAUUUUGCUGAAAUGACAACUCCACGUAUUUGCGGAGGUAUCAAACCGAUCGAUGAACCAGAUACUCCAGAGCACCAUGAGUUCAUCCGGACUGCACUGGCCUCUUCGAGUGGCAACAGCGAUCGUGGUUACAAAAUUAUUCGAGCAACUCGUCAGGUAGUGGCCGGUACUUUACAUACGUUCCACAUAAAAUUCGAAGACGAUACGUCUGGCGAUGUAUAUAAGAUCACCGCUUGGAGCCGUCCAUGGCUAAAGGAGAAGGACCCGGCAGAGGCACUCAAGAUAACGUUCGCGAAGGAUGUCGAGCAACAGUAAAUGGAAUCUUUAUGCAUUUGGCUUUAAUAUUGAAGAUUAAUGUGAAUUUCGAAUGCCUUUUAA